rnacentral:rRNA from 1 species
GACGAACGCUGGCGGCGUGCUUAACACAUGCAAGUCGAGCGGAAAGGCCCUUUCGGGGGUACUCGAGCGGCGAACGGGUGAGUAACACGUGAGUAAUCUGCCCUGGACUCUGGGAUAGCCACCGGAAACGGUGAUUAAUACCGGAUAUGACACCUUGCUGCAUGGUGGGGUGUGGAAAGUUUUUUCGGUCCAGGAUGUGCUCGCGGCCUAUCAGCUUGUUGGUGAGGUACUGGCUCACCAAGGCUUUGACGGGUAGCCGGCCUGAGAGGGUGACCGGUCACACUGGGACUGAGACACGGCCCAGACUCCUACGGGAGGCAGCAGUGGAGAAUAUUGGACAAUGGGCGGAAGCCUGAUCCAGCAACGCCGCGUGAGGGAUGACGGCCUUCGGGUUGUAAACCUCUUUCAGUACCGACGAAGCGUGAGUGACGGUAGGUACAGAAGAAGGACCGGCCAACUACGUGCCAGCCGCCGCGGUAAGAC